rnacentral:lncRNA from 1 species
UGUGGGAGUGCGGUGUACCACAAUCCACCAUGGACUGAUGGUCUAUGAGGCAUUCUGUGGAUCGAUGGAUCUAUUCUCUGCCAUUUUUCACGGUCUAUGGUGGACCAACGGGCAUUUUCAUGUGGUUUCUCACAAUGUAGAGGGUUUUCAUGGAUCGGACGUGCGAUCGGAUGGUAUGGGCAUGAUUCUGUACUUGAUCGAGCGGUCCAGAUGCUGAUCAGGGGCGUACAGCAUAUGCUAAGGUGCGAUCGAACGGCCCAGUGAGCAAGCGGUCGCAAUCCAAUGAUGAAAUGGCUUGUUGUGUGCUAUCAAGAG